rnacentral:lncRNA from 1 species
GGCCGUGUUAGGCUUCGCUGGCGUAAAGUCCCCGGGAGCUUUGCCCCUCACGGAGAACGUUAGUUGACCCUGAUGGGGACCCGUAGGGUAAAGGUUUUGUUUUUGUUUUUUUUUACGGAAAAGGUUGUGGUUAGGCCCCUUGGAAAGUUGCGACAAAACUCGAGUUAGACAAGGAAGGUCGGAACUAAGUGGCCACAGCAACAAUGCACCAGCAAGCAGGGAGCGUGAUAGGAAGAGCUAAAGAGGAAUCGGGAAACCCUGGGGUCUCACCGCCGUCGCCCAGGCCGGAUGGAGUGCAGUGGCGCGAUCACGGCUCACUGCAGCCUCGACUUCCCAGGCUCAGAGAUGGGUUUCACCAUGUUUCCCAGCCUUGUCUCAAACUCCUGACCUCAAGUGAUCCGCCGUCUUGGGUCUUCGAAAGUGCUGGGACAGCAGGAGUGAGCCACCGCAUCUGGCCCGGAAAGUGUUUUGGAGCGUAGAAAAAUGCAAAUUAUAGGGCUGCCUUCAAGGAUCCCGAAGGACCCACAGAUUUGCCGCAUCAGGCUCCUAUGCACGCCGGUAAUUUGAUGUGUUGAGAUGCACUGCCCAGUGCGUUGUUUUUACUGGAGGAGCUUGUGUGCGGAGCUCCUUGCUAGUGUAUGUGUUGGGAUGGGAGAGAAGUGCGGGAGAACUAUGAGAUAAUGCCCCCUGAUCCUCAGGGUCUUAGGAGGUAUGGUCGGAGAGGCUAAGCUAAAGUAUGAAAGCCGUGUGUAGGCCCUUCUGUGUAGUGCAGAAAAGGUAGAGGUAUGUGAUUUGAAAGAGUAGGGAUGACAUGGAGGAUGCGACUCCUGGUUGGAUCUAUAAACUAAUGUCUUUGGAACGAAAGCACAUGCAACCUUUUGAAAAUGGAUGGGUGAUAAUGAAAGACCAUUCCAGAGAAGAAACACCAUGGUGCAAAGGCUCAAGAGGCAUACUGGAAGUACAAUGAAGAGAGCAAUCUAACUGAAAUGGGAAAAAAAGAAACAAAGAGUAAAAAGUAAGAUUUGAUGAGAAAGAUGGAAUCGAUUUUUAAAUUUUUUUAUCUACACAACAAAAUUUAUUAUCUUAACCAUUUUUGAGUGAAUAAUUCGUUAGUAUUAAGUAUAUUUACCUCGUGCGGCCAGUCUCCAGAAUUCUUUUCAUCUUGCAAAACAAACCCCGAACCCAUUAAACAAUUUCUCAUUCGCCAUUUUCCAGCUAGCCUUGGUAACCUCCAUUCUAGUUCUGUCUCUGUGAAUUUGACUGUGUACCCCGUGUAAGUGGUAUCAUACAGUAUUUGUAUUUUUGUGACUGGCAUAUUUCACAUAGCAUAAUCUCCUUGUGGUUUAUCCAUCUUGUAGCAUGUGUCAGAAUUUCCUUCCCUUUUAAGACUAAAUAAUAUUCCAUUGUGUGU